UACGGAGGAUGCAAGCGUUAUCCGGAUUUAUUGGGCGUAAAGCGUCCGCAGGUGGUUGUUCAAGUCUGCUGUUAAAGCGCGAGGCUUAACCUUGUACAGGCAGUGGAAACUGAGCGACUAGAGUAUGGUAGGGGUAGCGGGAAUUCCCAGUGUAGCGGUGAAAUGCGUAGAUAUUGGGAAGAACACCAGCGGCGAAAGCGCACUACUGGGCCAUUACUGACACUCAUGGACGAAAGCUAGGGGAGCGAAAGGG
rnacentral:rRNA from 1 species